AGCGUACACGGUGGAUGCCUAGGCAGUCAGAGGCGAUGAAGGACGUGCUAAUCUGCGAUAAGCGCCGGUAAGGUGAUAUGAACCGUUAUAACCGGCGAUUUCCGAAUGGGGAAACCCAGUGCAAUUCGUUGCACUAUCAUUACCUGAAUACAUAGGGUAAUGAAGCGAACCGGGAGAACUGAAACAUCUAAGUACCCCGAGGAAAAGAAAUCAAACGAGAUUCCCCCAGUAGCGGCGAGCGAACGGGGAGCAGCCCAGGACCUUAAUCAGCAUCAGUGUUAAGAGAACAGUCUGGAAAGGCUGGCCACAGCAGGUGAUAGCCCUGUAUCUGAAAGCACUGGUGUUGUGAGUCCGAUGAGUAAGGCGGGACACGUGUUAUCCUGUCUGAAUACGGGGGGACCAUCCUCCAAGGCUAAAUACUCCUGACUGACCGAUAGUGAACCAGUACCGUGAGGGAAAGGCGAAAAGAACCCCGGCGAGGGGAGUGAAAAAGAACCUGAAACCGUGUACGUACAAGCAGUGGGAGCACCCUUCGGGGUGUGACUGCGUACCUUUUGUAUAAUGGGUCAGCGACUUAUAUUCUGUAGCAAGGUUAACCGGAUAGGGGAGCCGCAGGGAAACCGAGUCUUAACUGGGCGAAUUAGUUGCAGGGUAUAGACCCGAAACCCGGUGAUCUAGCCAUGGGCAGGUUGAAGGUUGGGUAACACUAACUGGAGGACCGAACCGACUAAUGUUGAAAAAUUAGCGGAUGACUUGUGGCUGGGGGUGAAAGGCCAAUCAAACCGGGAGAUAGCUGGUUCUCCCCGAAAGCUAUUUAGGUAGCGCCUCGUGAAUUCAUCUCCGGGGGUAGAGCACUGUUUCGGCUAGGGGGUCAUCCCGACUUACCAACCCGAUGCAAACUGCGAAUACCGGAGAAUGUUAUCACGGGAGACACACGGCGGGUGCUAACGUUCGUCGUGAAGAGGGAAACAACCCAGACCGCCGGCUAAGGUCCCAAAGUCAUAAUUAAGUGGGAAACGAAGUGGGAAGGCUCAGACAGCCAGGAUGUUGGCUUAGAAGCAGCCAUCAUUUAAAGAAAGCGUAAUAGCUCACUGGUCGAGUCGGCCUGCGCGGAAGAUGUAACGGGGCUAAAUUAUGCACCGAAGCCGCGGCAGCGAUAUGUAAAUAUUGUUGGGUAGGGGAGCGUUCUGUAAGCCUGUGAAGGUGACCUGUGAGGGUUGCUGGAGGUAUCAGAAGUGCGAAUGCUGACAUAAGUAACGAUAAUGCGGGUGAAAAACCCGCACGCCGGAAGACCAAGGGUUCCUGUCCAACGUUAAUCGGGGCAGGGUGAGUCGACCCCUAAGGCGAGGCUGAAAAGCGUAGUCGAUGGGCAACGGGUUAAUAUUCCCGUACUGGUGGUAACUGCGAAGGGGGGACGGAGAAAGCUAAAUCAUCCGGGCGACGGUUGUCCCGGUUUAAGCGUGCAGGUGGACUGACCAGGCAAAUCCGGUCGGUUGUUAACACUGAGGCGUGACGACGAGCCACUACGGUGGUGAAGUGAUUGAUGCUCUGCUUCCGGGAAAAGCCUCUAAGCUCCAGGUUACCAUUAAUCGUACCCCAAACCGACACAGGUGGUCAGGUAGAGAAUACUCAGGCGCUUGAGAGAACUCGGGUGAAGGAACUAGGCAAAAUGGUGCCGUAACUUCGGGAGAAGGCACGCUGGCAUUAGGUGAAGUGGUUUACCCAUGGAGCUGAAGCCAGCCGCAGAUACCAGCUGGCUGCAACUGUUUAUUAAAAACACAGCACUGUGCAAACACGAAAGUGGACGUAUACGGUGUGACGCCUGCCCGGUGCCGGAAGGUUAAUUGAUGAGGUCAGCCGCAAGGCGAAGCUUCUGAUCGAAGCCCCGGUAAACGGCGGCCGUAACUAUAACGGUCCUAAGGUAGCGAAAUUCCUUGUCGGGUAAGUUCCGACCUGCACGAAUGGCGUAAUGAUGGCCAGGCUGUCUCCACCCGAGACUCAGUGAAAUUGAACUCGCUGUGAAGAUGCAGUGUACCCGCGGCUAGACGGAAAGACCCCGUGAACCUUUACUAUAGCUUGACACUGAACAUUGAGCCUUGAUGUGUAGGAUAGGUGGGAGGCAAUGAAGUGUGGACGCCAGUCUGCAUGGAGCCAACCUUGAAAUACCACCCUUUAACGUUUGAUGUUCUAACUUGGUCCCGUAAUCCGGGAUGAGGACAGUGUCUGGUGGGUAGUUUGACUGGGGCGGUCUCCUCCCAAAGAGUAACGGAGGAGCACGAAGGUUGGCUAAGCAUGGUCGGACAUCAUGCGGUUAGUGCAAAGGCAUAAGCCAGCUUGACUGCGAGAGUGACGGCUCGAGCAGGUACGAAAGUAGGUCUUAGUGAUCCGGUGGUUCUGAAUGGAAGGGCCAUCGCUCAACGGAUAAAAGGUACUCCGGGGAUAACAGGCUGAUACCGCCCAAGAGUUCAUAUCGACGGCGGUGUUUGGCACCUCGAUGUCGGCUCAUCACAUCCUGGGGCUGAAGUAGGUCCCAAGGGUAUGGCUGUUCGCCAUUUAAAGUGGUACGCGAGCUGGGUUUAGAACGUCGUGAGACAGUUCGGUCCCUAUCUGCCGUGGGCGCUGGAAGAUUGAGAGGGGUUGCUCCUAGUACGAGAGGACCGGAGUGAACGCACCACUGGUGUACGGGUUGUGAUGCCAAUUGCAUUGCCCGGUAGCUAAGUGCGGAAGAGAUAACCGCUGAAAGCAUCUAAGCGGGAAGCCUCCCUCAAGAUGAGUUUUCCCUGACUCCAUGCCGAACUCAGAAGUGAAACGCCGUAGCGCCGAUGGUAGUGUGGGGUCUCCCCAUGUGAGAGUAGGGAACCGCCAGGUUAUUAUU
rnacentral:rRNA from 1 species